rnacentral:ribozyme from 1 species
UGCCCAGCAACUCCUAUCCCUACCUCCUCGCGGUACUGGCCGGGGUACGAGUAACCUUAGGGAAGAUCGGGGAACCAACCCCCGGUGGGAACUUUGGUCGUAUGCUGACAGGGAAGG